rnacentral:rRNA from 1 species
AGUGAACGCUGGCGGUAGGCCUAACACAUGCAAGUCGAACGGCAGCACAGUAAGAGCUUGCUCUUACGGGUGGCGAGUGGCGGACGGGUGAGGAAUACAUCGGAAUCUACUUUUUCGGGGGGGAUAACGUAGGGAAACUUACGCUAAUACCGCAUACGACCUACGGGUGAAAGCAGGGGAUCUUCGGACCUUGCGCGAUUGAAUGAGCCGAUGUCGGAUUAGCUAGUUGGCGGGGUAAAGGCCCACCAAGGCGACGAUCCGUAGCUGGUAUGAGAGGAUGAUCAGCCACACUGGAACUGAGACACGGUACAGACUCCUGCGGGAGGCAGCAGUGGGGAAUAUUGGACAAUGGGCGCAAGCCUGAUCCAGCCAUACCGCGUGGGUGAAGAAGGACUUCGGGUUGUAAAGCCCUUUUGUUGGGAGAGAAAAGCAGCAGGUUAAUACCCCGCUGUUCUGACGGUACCCAAAGAAUAAGCACCGGCUAACUUCGUG